UUAAAGAAAAUAAAUAUUUUAAAUAUUUAACUGUAAAAUGUGGAAUUCUAUACUGUACUGUUUUUUCGCCAUACUACCUUUACCAGCAUGCUGUGCAGUUUGUACAUUCCCACCGUUAAGGCAGUUUUUUUUUUCAUCUUGGAUGGACCAAUUACAGUGGAGAAAUCCACUUAGCCCGCGAAAUCGCGGCGGCAAUGCGUCAGUUGCUGGAGUGAGGGUGUUCUUUUUGGCGGAGAUAACAGGUCUGUCGGCACGUCAGUUUUUAAAUGGCAAGCAAUUUCUUUCGAAAAGCUAUGAACCAACUGAGGAACAAGGAGUUUCAGAAGUAUCUGAGGAGCACUUCUGGGGACCUGUAAUUAAUUGGGGUCUGCCCAUAGUCACUGUGAUGGAUAUGAGGAAGAGCCCUGAAAUAAUCAGUCGUCGAAUGACCUUCGCUCUUACCGGUUACUUGCUCAUUUUUAUGAGGUUCUCAUAUCGAGUCCAGCGCCAAUACUGGCUCCUCUUCGCAUACCACAUGGCCAAUGUGACGGCACAAACGAUCCAGGGAGGCCGGCUCAUCCG